rnacentral:rRNA from 1 species
GUGGGGAAUUUUGGACAAUGGGCGCAAGCCUGAUCCAGCCAUUCCGCGUGCAGGAUGAAGGCCUUCGGGUUGUAAACUGCUUUUGUACGGAACGAAAAGGUUCUCUCUAAUACAGGGGGCUGAUGACGGUACCGUAAGAAUAAGCACCGGCUAACUACGUGCCAGCAGCCGCGGUAAUACGUAGGGUGCAAGCGUUAAUCGGAAUUACUGGGCGUAAAGCGUGCGCAGGCGGUUAUGUAAGACAGAUGUGAAAUCCCCGGGCUCAACCUGGGAACUGCAUUUGUGACUGCAUAGCUAGAGUACGGUAGAGGGGGAUGGAAUUCCGCGUGUAGCAGUGAAAUGCGUAGAUAUGCGGAGGAACACCGAUGGCGAAGGCAAUCCCCUGGACCUGUACUGACGCUCAUGCACGAAAGCGUGGGGAGCAAACAGGAUUAGAAACCCGAGUAGUCC